rnacentral:rRNA from 1 species
CAGUCGAGCGGAACGACACUAACAAUCCUUCGGGUGCGUUAAUGGGCGUCGAGCGGCGGACGGGUGAGUAAUGCCUAGGAAAUUGCCUUGAUGUGGGGGAUAACCAUUGGAAACGAUGGCUAAUACCGCAUAAUGCCUACGGGCCAAAGAGGGGGACCUUCGGGCCUCUCGCGUCAAGAUAUGCCUAGGUGGGAUUAGCUAGUUGGUGAGGUAAUGGCUCACCAAGGCGACGAUCCCUAGCUGGUCUGAGAGGAUGAUCAGCCACACUGGAACUGAGACACGGUCCAGACUCCUACGGGAGGCAGCAGUGGGGAAUAUUGCACAAUGGGCGAAAGCCUGAUGCAGCCAUGCCGCGUGUAUGAAGAAGGCCUUCGGGUUGUAAAGUACUUUCAGUUGUGAGGAAGGGGGUGUCGUUAAUAGCGNCAUCUCUUGACGUUAGCAACAGAAGAAGCACCGGCUAACUCCGUGCCAGCAGCCGCGGUAAUACGGAGGGUGCGAGCGUUAAUCGGAAUUACUGGGCGUAAAGCGCAUGCAGGUGGUUCAUUAAGUCAGAUGUGAAAGCCCGGGGCUCAACCUCGGAACUGCAUUUGAAACUGGUGAACUAGAGUACUGUAGAGGGGGGUAGAAUUUCNNNGUAGCGGUGAAAUGCGUAGAGAUCUGAAGGAAUACCAGUGGCGAANGGNGGCCCCCUGGACAGAUACUGACACUCAGAUGCGAAAGCGUGGGGAGCAAACNGNA